AUUUUUUUAAUAGGUUUCUUGUUUCAUAUUGAAGGUGAUGCAGCCCCUGCUUGGAGACCCACCUCCAUUGAUUCAAGACCUACAGAAAGGAGCAGGAGUGACUGCAUUUUGACUGCAUUAUGAACUAUGAAGGCGAAGUUGCCCAAAGCAAUAUAAGUAUCCAUUUUAUCAUUUCUUUACUGGUUUUCCAAUAAUUUUUUUUUUAAAAUUCUUUCUGCUCUUGUUUGGAACUCUAAUAAUCACAGUCCUUUCUUUUUGUUUAUUGUUUUGAACUUGAUGUAUUAUUUUUGGUCUCUAUCUCAAAAUAUUUUGUACAUAUAUUUAAAUAGUUAUAUAAUUAUAGGUUAUGGAGUCGGUUCAGUAGUCAAGCAGUUCACUUAAGUAAAUGUCGUUUAGCAGUUUUUUGACAGUGGAUUCAUUUACAUGUUGAGAAGUCUUUUAUUAAUUUGCUCUUGAGAUCGAUAGGUAGGAAUUCAGUGUCUUCUCAUUUUUAGUCUUUUUGUAGGUAUGAUAAAUAGAACUAUCGCACAUCGUGAUUUAGACCUUGUUAGAUAUUUAAAUUUAAUUCAUGGCAAAUCAUGCCUAUUUCAAAUCUGGUCCCUCAUCAGGGUCAUACCUGGUGAAAUAUACCGAAACCUAUGAAAUGCAAGUCUGUUUACAUGGUAAUAUAGUUUGAGACGUUAAACAAAAACUGUUUUCCAUGGAUCAGAAAUGGUCAUACUAAGUAUUCUUGGAGUCUCUCUUGAGAUUUUCGUAAUCCUUGGAACUCUUUCGGUACACAAAGAGUAUGAGCAUUCAGAAAUGGGCAGACAUCCUGUCAUGAAAAAUGUGGAAGAAGAUGGUAUGUAACUUGAGAAGGAAAUGGCUGAAAAUUGAAUGGUUUGUAAAUGAUUAGGGUGUUCUGAGGGUUUGUAAAACAGUACUGUGUAGAUAUUUAGGAAAUAGAGGAAGAGAACAAAGUGAAAUAAUGUUUUGUGUUAGAUAUUUAGAUUUAAGUCAUGUAGAGUUUGAGACAUUAAAUAAUACUGUUUUCCAUGGAUCAGAAAUGGUCAUACUAAGUAUUAUUGGAGACAUUGAUAUUUUCAUAAUCAAUAGAACUUUUGGUAUUGAGAGUAUGAGUAUUGUCAUCGUGUCAUUUAAUUAGAUUUUAGUAAUGUUAUUAGAUAAAUAUUGAAUGUUACAAAUAUUUUGUUCCAUCGCGGUAGGGGCAUCUGAGACCUCCAUAGGCUCCCGUCGCCUCAUACGACGAUCCGAAGUCUCGGGAGACUUCGCAAUUAUGCUGCCGAAGCCUUGGGCGGCUUCGAACAAGGCAUGGACAAGGACCUGGCGGGUUGAAGCAGAUACUACAGGAAUUUUUUGGUCGGAAUUUGACAAAUCCCGGUAUCUCCUAGAAAAGUAGUUUAGAGUUGUGGUUGAACUGUAGUACGGUGAGAGUUCGGGCCUGAAGAUGGAUGCUCUUGGAUCACGUGACAUUUCUUCAGUCUGUGUGUGUGUGUGAGGACUCCUCAGCACCCCCUCCAUCCUGGGUGGCCGAGUAAAAAUUAUUUGCCUUGUCCUCGGUUAAGUAUAAUGGGUUUUCAUAUUGUUAAUUAAGCUCAGAAACAGGAAUUCCGGGACCUUCCCGUUGAGUCAGAAUCUUACAGCUACUACCUUGAGCUGGUAUUCUGCUUAAACUGGUAUGUAGCACCUCUGGAGACCAGCGGAUAAACGGGAAGGUUGUCCCAGGCAAUAGAAUAAUCUGAGCCAGUUGGCAAAGUUCAGGUGUCAUUUGUGUGUGAGGGCAUCUUCAAGUGAGGGAGACAUGUUUCUCAGCUUGCAAAAAACCACAUCGAUUUAGGUUACGCAAAACCACAACCACCACAUUUCAGAAACUGGUAUGUAGCACCUCUGGAGACCAGCGGAUAAACGGGAAGGUUGUCCCAGGCAAUAGAAUAAUCGGAGCCAGUUGGCAAAAAUUAUGGUGGAACUGUAGUGCGGUGAGAGUUCGGGCCUGACUUUCUUGGACUGUGGGCUCGUUAUGAGGCACGUAAGGAGGCAACUGCCAGAAUCUGGUAUGUAGCAUCUCUGGAGACCAGCGGAUGGGAGGGUCGUCCCAGGCAAUAGAAUAAUCAAAGCCACUUGCCAAA